rnacentral:misc_RNA from 1 species
AAAAGCUUUAAGGAAAGCUCUUUGUUUUUUGAAAUGAUGCUUUUAUGAGAUAGAGCUUUUUUAGAUAAUGCUUUUUUAGAUAAUGCUGGGGAAGGUUUUCCGGUUUAUCUCGGAGGGCUUGUAGCUCAGUUGGUUAGAGCGCGCGCUUGAUAAGCGUGAGGUCGGAGGUUCAAGUCCUCCCAGGCCCACCAAUUUACCUAUCCAUUUGCCUUUAUCCGUUUAUUUGUCGAUUUAUCGGUCCAUUGAAUUUAACUGUUGGUAGCAGUUUUUAUAAUGAUGAGAAAUCAUGCUUAUAAAAGAACUCCUUAUAAAAGGCUUGUUUUUAAAAUGUGACGCUUAUCCAUUUCGCUUAGGCAAGAGAAACUUCAAGCGGUUCAAAUGCAAAAGGCUUUAAAUUUUGCAAAACAAUUUGAAUUUUAAAGUGAUCCAAGUUCGUGAUCUCGAAUUUAAAAGUUUCGAAUGCUUUAUCCUUUUUUGGGGGCCGUAGCUCAGCUGGGAGAGCACCUGCUUUGCAAGCAGGGGGUCGUC